AAAAAAUGGUUUAUUUGAGCUAUUGCAUUUCAGGACCAGCUGUGGAGCGGGUCUAUCCCCAUCUCCUAUUUUAUCCGGCUGUAGAGCGGAUUCCCCUUUCUCCUAUUUUAUCCGGCUGUUGAGUGGAUUCCCCUUUCUCCCAUUUUAUCCGGCUGUAGAGCGGAUUCCCCUUUUUCCUAUUAUAUCCAGUUGUAGAGCGGAUACCCCUGUCUCAUAUUUUAUCCAGCUGUUGAGCGGAUUUUGUUUUGUUUUGCUCGGGACUAGCAAAAUGAAUUAUAAGUGAAAUCCGUUCGCCCGGAAAACUAAUGGCCUAGAAGCUAAAUUGGUGCUUGCGACUUGCAAUGCCAAAGGAGUCGGAGCUUGUGGGCUAGCAAGCCAACAAUAUAUGGGCCGCAUCACUUAAGCCAGGAGGUCGAACAAAGAAAUGAUGUCCUCUACCAAACGUGUAAGCUGCACAAGGGGGCUUAGAAAGUGAGACGCGUCCCAUUUUUCCACCUCUUCGGUCUUAUCAAAACAAGAAAAAGAAAUGUUCAUUUUUCUUUCUCAUUUCAAGCUGGUAACAACAGAGAAAGGGAAUUUGAGAUCGAGCUUCAUACUUGAAUGGAAUUCGUCAUCAUCCAAACAGCUACAACCAAACCAAGGUGGUAUCUUCUCCGUUACCUCUCGCUAGAUGGAGUUCAAGCUCUUCUCUCCAAUUCAUGAGCACCAGAUCUUGAGGCAACAUCAAUGGAUCUGUGUGAGACUGUUGUAGUGUUGGAAUUUAUACGCAGCAGCAACGACAACAGAGCUACAAGGUUCGUUAUCGGCUGAAAUUGGUUUUGACCUAACUUUUGGUCUUGAUUAAAUGGUGACUGUUUGGGGCGGUUCUGAGUUGUAAACGAAGAUGAAAUCAUGAAGAUGCAGAUGAAGUGUCAAGACUGAAACUUGGUUACAGCAAAGCUAGGUCGUGAUGUUUGUUCGCUGUGAACGGAGAUUGGGUUCAUUCCAUGAGCUUGAUCGAUGGAGAUUUGGGGGUUUCAACAUCAGUUGAUAUUGGGUCUUAAUUUAAUGGUGAUGGACAACGAAAACAAAUGAUUCUGUUGGUAUUCGAUUGAACGCAGAAAGGUGUUGCUGCCAUGAAUGUUAUGAUUAUGAAAAACAGGUCAGUGGCCGGAGUUGGGAAACAGUUUAGUUAAGAAAGUACUGGUUGCUUGAGUCGAGUGGUGUCUAAAGAUCCGAUAAAACCAACUCUCUGUGAUAUGUGGUACUGUUAAGUGGUUUUGAAUGGUGAAAAACACUUGCUGCUGCUGUUAAUUUAACGGAGUUGGAGAAGGUGUAUAUGUUGACUGAAUUUGGAAGUCGUCGAGCUGGUGUAGUCGGUGGUGGCUGGAAGUGCAGGGAAAGCAGCUGUGGCGAAGCUUGGUUCAGCUGUUGUGAUCAAUGGCUAGCUCUGUGGUUGGAUGUGAACUGAAAGUAGUCAGGGAAUUUGGCUGAGUUGAUUGCAAAUUGUAUAAGGCAGUCUCAUAUGGAACAAGGAGAUGGAUUCCAAUUGAGUUUUUCUAUGGAGCUCAGAUCAGAUCUAAUCGAGCUGUAAUAGCCAGAGGGUGACGAGACUGUGAAUAUUCUGAAGUACAACUGUAGCCGAUAUGUAGAGUGGUUGUUUGCGAUUCUGCACUUGAAUGUUCUCGACUGAGAACACACACAGCAGUAACAACUGGUGAAGACGGUGGUAUUGCCUGAUUGCAAGUGAUGAUGGUGGUUGGGUAACCUGUGGUGGUGUUUUGUAACAUGGAGAUGCUGGUGUUGGCUGCAUCAGUUCAGUGGAUCUGAAAUGGUCGUGACCAGUGGUGCUGAGAUGAUUGGACUGAGCUGGUUGUUGGUGGUAUUGGUCAUGGCUGUGAACAAGGAGGUGUAGACAGUGGCCAGACUUACUGUUGGCCUGAAGUUCUAUUUUUGGACUGGGCUUUGGUGUGUGCUGGCGUCCGUCACCAGAGGAGAGUUUGGAUGGCUAUUUAACCUGGCGUGAAGAGAAGAAAAGAUACGCCGAAUACAGGGAAGAAACUAGGGUUUGCAUUUAUCUUUAAUUUUCGAUGUGCAUAACUUGAUUUAUUCCUGAAUCAUUUUCUAUGGCUUUUAAGAAAUCUAUGUCUAUCUAAACUCUUCAUUAGGGUGAAAGAUGAACUUGUAGUUUUGAUUUAUUUGUGUUCUAAAACAGGGGUUUUCAACAACUAAAGCUUAAUGUCAAUUGUUUGAGUUUCUCUUAGUGUUUUAUUUUCUUUUCAACUUCUCAUGUUCUAUGCCAUGUAUAGUUUAUUGUUAGGUUGAUAGAAAUACUCAUUUAAACCUUAUUAUU